rnacentral:rRNA from 1 species
AUGUCGAGGAGGUCCUUCUCUGUGAUGGUCGACUGGAUCCAGUCUCCUUGGAUCCAGCCCUUCGGCAGGCGGGAUCUGGACGAGGACCCUCCGCGGCUGGUGGAUCUCCCCUUCGCCUUCUCCGACGCCGACGCCUUCUUUGCGCGCUCCAGCGCCGCCGUCUUCUCCUUGGCCAUGGUCACCGGCGAGAUGCGCGAAGGGAAGUGGUGCGGGGGCGAGAGCGAGCACGCUGGGCGGAGAAGAAGGAAGCAGAGAGAGGGAGAGAAUGCUGAGGCGCGGCACAGAAAUCCUCGCCGGGCACAUUUAUAA